UCAAAAAAAAUGCAAAUUUCACGUUUUAGCGUUUAAUAAAUAUUACUAGUUUUUAACAGCCGCUUAUCACGCUCUUUGGGUGGUACUGUUGAGCACGGAAGUUAAUUCCGACGAAGAUUGCCGUUUUCUUAAAGACUAGCUAGACGGUAGAGUAACUACGAGAUGCCCUUUAAGUGCUAGGUUUUGUUCUUGUCUUCUCCGUUUUGCUGGGGUUACUGAACUGCUCAUGGGUAACCGUCGUGUAAGGCUUCCUCAAUCUGUAAGUGCCGUCAGUGGGAGACAAAGUUAAGUCACCCAUCAGAGGUUAGCAUUGGCAACCGCGUCUUCAGGAGGUUUAUCAAAAAUCUUAAGGUGCUAUGGAUGCUUAUUGCUUCCUUUACUUGAUGGCAAUUUUGGAGCGGAAGACAGCGUAAACAAAAGUUGAAGGUUGUGCACACGCUUUAUUGCCUCGAGCAUCUAAUUUCGCUCGGGAUAAGCCUCAAAUAAAAGAUCUGCAACUGGUGAAAGCUUCACAAUAUAGGUCACCUCCCUUCUCAGUUGGCGCCGCUUGCUUCGGCAGUUGUAAGGUGAAAGGUCCCCGCCCUCGAGGGCAUCACCGACAUGCCGCUAUGGCGACGGAUCGUCUACGCAGCCUCAUUCAUUCGACGGUUAUUGACUUAAACACCGUGCUAUCGUCACUUGCGCACGCCUCAUCUGGCAUCCCAGCUGGGUAGUGACAGGAGCUUAUCAGCACAGCGCACGCUAUCGCUGUUACGCGAUAUACGUUGAGUUUUUGUGAGGAACUACAGCUUGAUAAAGUGAACUUCAUAAUGUCGCACAAUUGACUUUGUUUCCGCAACGGUCUUUAAGACAAGCAAUUUCGUCGGGUCCUCCUAUUUGAAUAUGCCUAGUUAUUAGGCCUUGGAAGAUUUAAAUUUUUAGCUUUGCAGUUUUUAAUU